CCUAGGAUUUGGGGUUUUUUUAAUUAAUACAAAAUUAAUGUUCUAAUUUUUCAAAUGAUUCUCAAUUAAUAUAUAGGGGAUUUGUUGUUUUUUUUUACAUUUUUUUGGUUAAGAAACGGUUAUGAUUGAAGUUGUUUCUCAGGUGGGUUUUUUAGUGUAAAAAAAAAAAAUUAGAGCAUAAUAGAAGAGAAGUUUCUUAAUCAAAGGGUCACAAAAAACGUCUCUUGAAUCCUUUCUUCUCCAUUGAAGUUUGGUCCUCUCUCUAUAGCCUUUUCAUCCUCGCAAUUUCUUCCCCACUCUAUUGAUUCAUCUCACAAUGUAUGCAUCACGAUGGAUACGACGGAGUAAGAUCUGACGGAGCUGUGUGGAAGGUUCGGCGAUAUCGACAGAGUCACGGCGUAUUCGUCCCGUGGAUUCGCGUUUAUAUACUACAGACACGUGGCGGCGAAGGAAAUGGAAUCUGCCUAUAGGAUGUGGAUUAAAGAGAAGAGAGAAGGUUCUUGAGUCUCCAUAGAAUCGGACCAGCUUUGCAAUGAACUACAAGCAGCUUUGAGAACAGCUAAAUGGCAGGUUUGUUAACAGGAGCUUCAUUCAAAAAUGUUCUUUUCAUCAUUCCCAUGAGUGGUGUUGGUUGAGCCGUGGGAAUUGUCGAGACGACACUACGUUGACUAGGGAGCUAAGAUGUAGAGUAAAUUACCAUGCUCUCAAGUUCACUGAUCCUAUACAGAGGAGCAAACACUUCAUUGCUUUACAUCUAAGGUAACCCUACCUUAAACCCUUUAGCAUCCCUUCAUUGGUUGACCUAGUUGGUCUUCAAAUUCAAUGUUUAUCCUAAUUAAUAGAAGGAAGUUGCAUCGUGGAAUCAGAUGCAUAAACAUGUGUUCACAUGUUGAAAGUAUAAAUCUAGAGAAUGUCUUGAGGCAAAGCGAUAAUGGCUUUACGGUCUGGUUUGAGCCUGAUAUGAUUGCCUUCUCGGGAUUCUAUUAUGGUGGUGGUGAUAAGGAAAGGAGAGAACUUGCAGCAAUCAGAAGGAGAUGGAAAACAUCCUUUUGUGUGAUGAAAGUGACGUUUUUGUAACCAACAACAAUGGCAAUAUGGCUAAAAUAUUGGCUGGGAGGAGGUACUCAAAACAUCAUCAUCAUCUUCUUCUUCUUUGCUUUCAUGGAGUUGCAAAGUGUUUAAGUUUUUGGUGAUAUAACAAUAAAUUUUAAGUUUAAUAAAAAAAUGUUUCAUAA